GUGAAUGCCCUCACGGGGCUUAACUAUCCAACCAACCUCUGUGAACUGUCGCCCCUCGGGCGCUUCUAUAACAACUAUAACUGUCAUGAACGUCGUAUACAAAAACAAACA
rnacentral:misc_RNA from 1 species